rnacentral:rRNA from 1 species
UACGGAGGGGGCUAGCGUUGUUCGGAAUUACUGGGCGUAAAGCGCACGUAGGCGGCUUUGUAAGUUAGAGGUGAAAGCCCGGAGCUCAACUUCGGAAUUGCCUUUAAGACUGCAUCGCUUGAAUCAUGGAGAGGUCAGUGGAAUUCCGAGUGUAGAGGUGAAAUUCGUAGAUAUUCGGAAGAACACCAGUGGCGAAGGCGACCACCUGGACUGAUACUGACACUGAGGUGCGAAAGCGUGGGGAGCAAACAGG